GCCCCAGUACUCCAACUGGUCUAGAGAGGCGGCUCUCAAACAGCCGAAAGUGUGGGUUCGAAUCCCACCUGGGGCA
rnacentral:tRNA from 1 species